CGCGGGGUGGAGCAGCCUGGUAGCUCGUCGGGCUCAUAACCCGAAGGUCGCGGUUCAAAUCCGGCCCCCGCAACCA
rnacentral:tRNA from 2 species